CGGGGGGAGCAAGCGUUGUUCGGAUUUACUGGGCGUAAAGGGCGCGUAGGCGGCCACGACAAGUCACUUGUGAAAUCUCCGGGCUUAACUCGGAACGGUCAAGUGAUACUGUCGGGCUAGAGUGCAGAAGGGGCAACUGGAAUUCUCGGUGUAGCGGUGAAAUGCGUAGAUAUCGAGAGGAACACCUGCGGCGAAGGCGGGUUGCUGGGCUGACACUGACGCUGAGGCGCGAAAGCCAGGGGAGCGAACGGGAUUAGAUACCCCGGUAGUCCUGGCCUUAAACGAUGAAUGCUUGGUGUCUCGGGUUACAUAUUCCCGGGGUGCCGUCGCUAACGCUUUUAGCAUUCCGCCUGGGGAGUACGGUCGCAAGACUG
rnacentral:rRNA from 1 species